GGCCAGGCCAUCAGACUGAGGAUUUGGCAUUCGAGCUCAAGGUGACGGCGAUCACCCGAGUUCGAGUCAUACAACUGAACUGUACCCUGAAAGGGAGGAUUUGGCCUUUGAGCUCAAGGGGACGGCGAUCACACGAGUUCGAAUGUACAACUGAACUGUACUCUGAAAGGGAAAUAAGAAGAAGAAAGAACAAAAGAAAAUCAGCUUUAGAGUGGUAUGGAGAUGCCACACACAGCUAGUCUCUUCUUCUCUUUAACUCUGAGCUUCAUUCUUCACUUCUGGCUACCAGCCUCUUCAGCAUGGCCUUUGCAAAGAACGUAUAAUGGCUCGUCAGCGACGGCAAUCUUUGUAUUUGGGGACUCGACUGCUGAUCCCGGCAACAAUAAUUACAUAAAUACUGUGAUUAAGGCGAAUUUUCCACCGUAUGGUCGAGACUUUGCGCAGCAUAGACCUACGGGACGAUUCACAAAUGGCAAGCUCGUCGCUGAUAUGCUAGCUUCUGCAUUCGGGGUUAAGGAGUAUAUUCCAGCGUACUUAGACCCCACACUGACUGCUAAGGACUUGUUGACUGGGGUCAGCUUCGCCUCAGCAGACUCUGGUUAUGACUCUCUCACAGCAGAGAUAACUGGGGUGAUCCCAGUUGAUAAACAAAUCGAAUAUUUUAAAGAAUAUGUGGCGAAGGUGCAAGGCCUGAUAGGGAAAGGCAAGGCUCUAAAACUCAUAAAGGGCGCCCUCUUUGCUUUGAGUGCCGGGACCAAUGAUUUUGGAUCCAAUUACUUUCUUCUUCCCUUGAGAAGUAAGCAUUAUAACACGGAGGAGUACCAGCAAUUCCUUCUCAACAAGCUCCAAGGCCAUCUUCAAGCUUUGCAUGAGAUGGGGGCUGAGAAAAUAUUGGUGAUUGGACUUCCACCAGUGGGAUGCUUGCCAGAGCAAAUUACUCUCAAUUUUGCAGAUGGUUGUGUGGACUAUCUGAAUGGCGUGGCAGUAGACUACAAUUUGAAGCUAGUGAAUACACUGAGUAAUCUCCAAGCAACAUUACUAAGAGGCUCCAAAAUCAACUAUGGGAACAUAUAUCAGCCCUUACUUGACAUGAUUGGAAAGCCUGAACAAUUUGAUUGAGAUUAAAGGUUAAUCAUUGAUCCUGCGCCAUCAGAUGCUGGUGACUCGGUGUGAGCCCGGUUGAGAUUUUUAGUGAGAGAAAGUGAUAGAAGAGGGAGUUUUGUUGGUUGGCCCUAUCUCAGAGAGAGAAAGUGCAUAUUUGGUGUGUAUUUGUACCCUAUUUGUUGUCAUAUUUCUACAGAAGUAAAACUGUUGUAACUUGAAGCUUUGGAUAUCAUUCUCUUAUAAUCUCCAUUGAACUAGUAAGUAAAGCCUCACACCAUUCUUUUGUAGAUGUAGGACACGAUUUGUAGAUGAACCACAUUAAAUCUUUGUCUCAUAUGGUAUUAUUGUUGUUGUAUUUUCAAUCUAUGUGAUUACUUUGAUGCCAUAUUCUUUUUAUUACUUGUUUAUGUAAUAUUGGAUGCACAAUAAAUGUUAAUGUAACACACCACUAUUGUAUUUUCACCACCAUUGAUCACAAUAUAUUUUACCAUGUACCUUACUCAUUUUCAAGCUUUGAAGAGAUUAGAAGAGAUUGCUCUAGAACGGGAUUGAUAGAAACAGCGAUUUUAUGUAAUGCUAAAUCUCCCGUAUGUGCCGGCGCAUCCAAAUAUGUUUUUUGGGACUCCUUCCACCCAACACAACAGGGAUAUCAGCUGCUGAAACUAUUUGGCACCAAUAGUUUCAAGUUUAUUGGGCUAGGGACUAUACUAUGAGACCAUUUAUCUUUCUUGCAAAGAGCUUGUACCCGACUUAAAUUACAAAAGACAGGAGUGAUCUGCGAGCCCUUGUGCUAAAGGUACAUGGUUGCUUUAUAUACUUUUUCCUAAAUAAAAUCUCUAAGUAGAGCAGAAGAUUGUGGGUUCUUUGUU